ACGAUGAAGGCUUUCGAGUCGUAAAGUUCUGUUCUUGGGGAAGAUAACGACGGUACCCAAGGAGAAAGCACCGGCUAGAUACGUGCCAGCAGCCGCGGUAAUACGUAUGGUGCAAGCGUUGUCCGGAAUUACUGGGCGUAAAGAGUUCGUAGGCGGUUAGAUUAGUCAGAAGUGAAAGGCUACGGCUCAGCCGUAGUAAGCUUUUGAAACUGUCUAACUUGAGUACUGGAGAGGAAAGCGGAAUUCCUAGUGUAGCGGUGAAAUGCGUAGAUAUUAGGAAGAACACCAGUGGCGAAGGCGGCUUUCUGGACAGUAACUGACGCUGAGGAACGAAAGCGUGGGGAGCGAACAGGAUUAGAUACCCUGGUAGUCCACGCCGUAAACGAUGAGAACUAGGUGUUGGGGGUCGAACCUCAGUGCCGCAGCUAACGCAGUAAGUUCUCCGCCUGGGGAGUACGAUCGCAAGAUUGAAACUCAAAGGAAUUGACGGA
rnacentral:rRNA from 1 species